UUGAUAACAUCAUCAAAAUCGAUUGAAUUUGCUACUUCACUUUUUAUUGACAGAAUCAUCAUGCAUCUGUUAAUGGUAUCAUCAUUCUGUAAAAAGUUAAUCAAAAUCGGUGUUUUUUAAUUGGGUAAUUUUCGUAGACUGCAGGACCUCUCAAAAUGCGGGGCCAGGUUCCAGCAAACGCGCUGAACCUCCCUUGCGCCAGCCCUAGUUUUUAUUAUAUACUUGUGUUAUAGAAUAAUUAAUUCAUCUUUUCUAAUUACAAUAUUUAAAUAAUGUACUUGUUUAUGUUUUUGGACUUCUCUUAACAUUAUUCCCUAGUCUUCAUCUCUGAAGAAAUCCUCUAAAUCUUUUGUCCUAUCUUCUCUCCCUAUAUGGCAAAAAUAUCAUCUACAUACCUUUUAAAGCAUGAUUUAUAGAAUAAUAAAUCUGUUAAGUUGAUUCAAAAUUUGUAAUUCUUUGUUUCUGAUUACUAACUCAGCUAAUAUGCCAGCCAUUGAACUUCUUAUGGGCACUCCUUUCAUUUAUAAAUAAAAUUUAUCUUCAAACAUAAAGUAAGAAUUGUAGC
rnacentral:lncRNA from 1 species